UGAACACCAUCAGGCCCAGUGUAAGAGAACGAGCCACUCACCGCUUCAGAUUCUCCUAAGAAAGAAAAAGAAUUGAAUGGUGUCAUAAUUGCUGUUACCUAUACCAUCAUAUAUAUCCUGGAUUCUCUUCUUAAGAAUACGUUACCUACUAUCUUCAUUAUUAUUCCAAGACUAUCUUUUACCGAUCACGGCUAUUUACGAAUCGAAACGAAACAAUGGUGUUCGAGGCCAAUGGCAAAGAUGUAACGCAACACUUUGAAAACAACAGUAAUACGAAAGGAGAGGAUUGGGAAAUGAAAAAUGUGUGUGCCCGCG